UAGGGAAUCUUCGGCAAUGGACGAAAGUCUGACCGAGCAACGCCGCGUGAGUGAAGAAGGUUUUCGGAUCGUAAAACUCUGUUGUUAGAGAAGAACAAGGACGUUAGUAACUGAACGUCCCCUGACGGUAUCUAACCAGAAAGUCACGGCUAACUACGUGCCAGCAGCCGCGGUAAUACGUAGGUGGCAAGCGUUGUCCGGAUUUAUUGGGCGUAAAGCGAGCGCAGGCGGUUUCAUAAGUCUGAUGUGAAAGCCCCCGGCUCAACCGGGGAGGGUCAUUGGAAACUGGGAGACUUGAGUGCAGAAGAGGAGAGUGGAAUUCCAUGUGUAGCGGUGAAAUGCGUAGUUAUAUGGAGGAACACCAGUGGCGAAGGCGGCUCUCUGGUCUGUAACUGACGCUGAGGCUCGAAAGCGUGGGGAGCAAACAGG
rnacentral:rRNA from 1 species